GUAGUACACAAUCAGUUAGUGACCUAAAUAAUGAUCUUAUUCAACUAACUUUAUCUUAUUUUGUAGCCUUGUGCUUCUUUCUACUGAGUUGUCUUGUACCAACUAAAAAUAGAGGUAUUUUAUCUCAGGUUCUCUACUAUGUGUAAUCUCAUAUCAAGAUUAAUGAGUAUCGUGAUCGUAUAAUUUUGAAUCCUAUCAACCCAUAUGGCAAGGCAAAGAAAAUGACAGUGGACAUCAUCCUAGAUUUUACAAAAUCAAAGGAGCAACCAGACAUGGCUGUCAUGAUCUAAGAUACUUCAACGUGAUUGGAUCGAACCCAGACAUAUGACUAGGAGAAGCUCCAAGGCCACUUUGUCAAGGGUCUCUGCAAUGCACCUACUGGUGCAUGAUUUACUGGAGGUUGUGCGCAUGAAUGUGCCACACAUUGGUAUGGGGGUUGGAGUUCAAGCAGGUAAUUUUCACCAAC